rnacentral:rRNA from 1 species
AGAGGGCGUGAAACCGCUUAGAAGGAAACGAGAGGCGCCGCGAUCUGCCGGCAAGAUUCACCUGCCUUCGCCGCUCGUCGGUGCAGGUAGCGCAUUUCUUGUCGGUGCGCACUGAGAACUGUGCGGUUGGCUUGCCGUGUUGGACGGAGAAGGAUGCUUCUUGCAUUGAUUCCGUCCUAUUUCUGGCCUGCCAGUUUGUUCAGUUUAGCAAUGCCCAGCAAUGCUCGGUGUAGGGUGAUCCCAGCUGCUUCGGCCUGGUUCGACUGCGCGUCGGCCCGGUCGACUGUGGCUCUGAAAGCCUAAUCACUGAAUAGGCGUUGUUUCGGUGUGAACGUCGGCUACCCUCCCGACCCGUCUUGAAACACGGACCAAGGAGUCUAACGUGUGCGCAAGUCACUGGGUUUGUUAAACCUAUAGGCGCAAUGAAAGUAAAGGCCGGCUCGGUCGGCUCACACACGAUCCGUUCAGUCUGACUGUUCGGCGCAGUGUGGUCCCAUCUUGAAUGCUUGCAUUGAGGUGGAGAUAGAGCGCACAUGUUGGGACCCGAAAGAUGGUGAACUAUGCCUGAACAGGAUGAAGCCAGAGGAAACUCUGGUGGAAGUCCGAAACGGUUCUGACGUGCAAAUCGA